rnacentral:rRNA from 1 species
CCCUUAGAUGUUCUGGGCUGCACGCGCGCUACACUGAAGCUAUCAACACGUUUUCCCUCCCUGAGAAGGGCGGGUAACCUUUUGAAUCAGCUUCGUGGUAGGGAUCGGGGCUUGCAAUUGUUCCCCGUGAACCAGGAAUUCCUAGUAGACGCGAGUCAUAAGCUCGCAUCGAUUAAGUCCCUGCCCUUUGUACACACCGCCCGUCGCUACUACCGAUUGAACGUUUUAGUGAGGCAUUUGGACCGACGCAUCUCAGUUUAACCGCUGGUUUGUGUUUGAAAGACUUCCAAACUUGAGCGUUUAGAGGAAGUAAAAGUCGUAACA